rnacentral:sRNA from 1 species
UAUUUUUUAACACUAAAACACACAUCUAUCAUAAAACUGGAAAUUGGGGUGCUGCUUAUGCGGUUAAUUUUCUAGGGUAGAUGGAGGCUAAAC